rnacentral:rRNA from 1 species
AUUGAACGCUGGCGGCAUGCCUUACACAUGCAAGUCGAACGGCAGCACGGGGGCAACCCUGGUGGCGAGUGGCGAACGGGUGAGUAAUACAUCGGAAUGUACCCAGUAGUGGGGGGAUAACUAGUCGAAAGAUUAGCUAAUACCGCAUACGCACUAUGGUGGAAAGCGGGGGAUCGCAAGACCUCGCGCUAUUGGAGCAGCCGAUGUCCGAUUAGGUAGUUGGUGGGGUAAAAGCCUACCAAGCCUGCGAUCGGUAACUGGUCUGAGAGGACGACCAGUCACACUGGGACUGAGACACGGCCCAGACUCCUACGGGAGGCAGCAGUGGGGAAUUUUGGACAAUGGGGGAAACCCUGAUCCAGCAAUGCCGCGUGUGUGACGAAGGCCUUCGGUUGUAAGCACUUUGGUCGGGUAACGAAACGGACGCUUCUAAUACAGAGUGCUAAUGAC